CCACACUAAAAAACUUUCCACGUGAACCGUUUCAACCCAAUAGUUGGGGGUCUUAUUUGGCGGCGGCUGCUGGCUUAAUUGUUGGCGGCUGCUGCUGAGUGAGCCCUAUCAAAAAAAAGGCGAACGUUUGGGCUUCGGCCUGAUUUAGUAGUCUUUUUUUCUUUUAAACCCAUUCCUUAAUACUGAAUAUACUGUGGGGACGAAAGUCUCUGCUUUUAACUAGAUAGCAACUUUCAGCAGUGGAUGUCUAGGCUCGCACAUCGAUGAAGAACGCUGCGAACUGCGAUACGUAAUGCGAAUUGCAGGAUUCAGUGAGUCAUCGAAAUUUUGAACGCAUAUUGCACUUCCGGGUUAGUCCUGGAAGUAUGCCUGUAUCAGUGUCCGUACAUUAAACUUGACUUUCUUCCUUCCGUGUAGUCGGUGGAGGAGAUGUCAGAUGUGAAGUGUCUUGCGAUUGGUCUUCGGACCGGCUGCGAGUCCUUUUAAAUGUACUAAACUGAACUUCUCUUUGCUCGAAAAGUGGUGGCGUUGCUGGUUGUGAAGGCUGCUAUUGUGGCAAAUUGGCGACUGGUUUGUCUGCUGCGGCGUUAAUGGAAGAGUGUUCGAUUCGUGGUAUGGUUGGCUUCGGCUGAACAAUGCACUUAUUGGACGUUUUUCCUGCUGUGGCGUGAUGGACUGGUGAACCAUAGCUCGGUGGCUUGGCUUUUGAAUUGGCUUUGCUGUUGCGAAGUAGGGUGGCAGCUUCGGUUGUCGAGGGUCGAUCCAUUUGGGAACUUAAUGUGUACUUCGGUAUGCAUCUCAA
rnacentral:rRNA from 1 species